GACGAACGCUGGCGGCGUGCUUAACACAUGCAAGUCGAACGGAAAGGCCCUGCUUUUGUGGGGUGCUCGAGUGGCGAACGGGUGAGUAACACGUGAGUAACCUGCCCUUGACUUUGGGAUAACUUCAGGAAACUGGGGCUAAUACCGGAUAGGAGCUCCUGCUGCAUGGUGGGGGUUGGAAAGUUUCGGCGGGUGGGGAUGGACGCGCGGCUUAUCAGCUUGUUGGUGGGGUAGUGGCUUACCAAGGCUUUGACGGGUAGCCGGCCUGAGAGGGUGACCGGCCACAUUGGGACUGAGGUACGGCGCAGACUCCUACGGGAGGCAGCAGUGGGGAAUAUUGCACAAUGGGCGGAAGCCUGAUGCAGCAACGCCGCGUGCGGGAUGACGGCCUUCGGGUUGUAAACCGCUUUCGCCUGUGACGAAGCGUGAGUGACGGUAAUGGGUAAAGAAGCACCGGCUAACUACGUG
rnacentral:rRNA from 1 species